rnacentral:pre_miRNA from 1 species
UGAAAAUACAUUAAGUUUAACUUAUCUUAGAAUAGGGGAGCUUAACUUUGUAUGAACAUUUAAGCUAAGAGCCUCAAUUCUUAGAUAAUGCGACUAACAAC